CAGAGGAAAUCCAGACAGGUUGUUUCCAUCUGUCCUGAGGCCUGUCUCUACAACUCUG
ensembl:snoRNA Gm22889 predicted gene, 22889